UACGAAGGGGGGCUAGCGUUGCUCGGAAUCACUGGGCGUAAAGGGUGCGUAGGCGGGUUUUUAAGUCAGAGGUGAAAUCCUGGAGCUCAACUCCAGAACUGCCUUUGAUACUGAAAGUCUUGAGUAUGGGAGAGGUGAGUGGAACUGCGAGUGUAGAGGUGAAAUUCGUAGAUAUUCGCAAGAACACCAGUGGCGAAGGCGGCUCACUGGCCCAUUACUGACGCUGAGGCACGAAAGCGUGGGGGAGCAAACAGG
rnacentral:rRNA from 1 species